GAUGAACGCUGACAGAAUGCUUAACACAUGCAAGUCAACUGUGGCGGACAGGUGAGUAACGCGUAAAGAACUUGCCUAGCAGUUAGGGACAACAUUUGGAAACGAAUGCUAAUACCUGAGACUGUGAGAGAGAUUUGCGUCCCAUUAGCUCGUUGGAGAGGUAACGGCUCACCAAGGCUAUGAUGGGUAGCCGGCAUGGGAGGGGGAUCGGCCACAAGGGGACUUAGACACGUCCCUUACGCCUACGGGAGGCAGCAGUGGGGACUAUUGGACAAUGGACCAAAGUCUGAUCAAGCAAUUCUGUGUGCACGAUGAAGUUUUCGGAAUGUAAAGUGCGUUCAGUUGGGAAGCAGUACCAACAGAAGAAGUGACGGCUAAAUACGUGCCAGCAGCCGCGGUAAUAC
rnacentral:rRNA from 1 species